rnacentral:rRNA from 1 species
CCUUUGACGUUAGCGGCGGACGGGUGAGUAACACGUGGGUAACCUACCUAUAAGACUGGGAUAACUUCGGGAAACCGGAGCUAAUACCGGAUAAUAUUUCGAACCGCAUGGUUCGAUAGUGAAAGGUGGUUUUGCUAUCACUUAUAGAUGGACCCGCGCCGUAUUAGCUAGUUGGUAAGGUAACGGCUUACCAAGGCUACGAUACGUAGCCGACCUGAGAGGGUGAUCGGCCACACUGGAACUGAGACACGGUCCAGACUCCUACGGGAGGCAGCAGCC